rnacentral:rRNA from 1 species
UUCUUACAAUAAUUAUUAUAAGUAGAAUCUGCUCCAUGUAACAUAAAUAGCCGCAGAAUUUUAACUGUGCUAAGGUAGCAUAAUCAUUUACCUUUUAAUUAAAGGUUUGUAUGAAUGAUUUAACAAUUAAAUUUCUUUUUUAUCUAAUUUUUUAAAAAUUAAAUAAAACAUAAAAAUGUGUUUAUAACAAAAAAAGACGACAAGACCCUAUUGAACUUCACUUAUGUUAAGCUGGGGAAGCUAGUUAAAUAUCAUUUUAGCUAAUAAUAUCAAAACUUCUGAUAAAAUCAAAUUCAACAAGUUACCAUAGGGAUAACAGCGUAAUAAAUUUUUAAAGCUCUUAUUUAAAAAAAAGGUUACGACCUCGAUGUUGAAUUAGAAUUUCUUUAAACCGCAAUAGUGCUAAUAGAAGGUCUGUUCGACCUUUAAAUUUCUACA